GCAGACGUGGCGCCAGCCUUGGGGCGUCUGAUUGGAGAAGGGCUGUGCCGCGCUGCUCACCCAUCCGACUCCUUCUCGAAGAAGAAACCUGGAGACCGGAGGCCAGGAGACAGAGGCUCCAUCACCUCAGUCCUAUACGGCAGCAAUGAACAUCUGCCUCCCCGCAUCUGUCCUCACUACCCCUGUCUGCCCACAGAUUCUCCGAUGGAUCCACAGUCAAGCUGCUAUCCCUGAAAUUCUGCACCAGCCCCCUCCAAGCUGUGGAGACCAGGUGCCCAUUUAUGAUAAUGGGAGAAAGACAAGGGC